UCCCCAGCCCAAAACAGAUAAUGAAGAUGUUGAUUAGAAAAGAUUUUAAUAUCCAACCGAAUCUUUUAAAAAAAAAAUCAUUAAUGAUGCCAUUAAAACUUGUUUGGUCCGUCGUAAAAUAUUUAAAAAAAAAAAACGACUGUGCUGUAUAGAGGAAAGGAUAUUUAAUUAUUUAUAUAUGGAUCAACCGUCGCGGGGUGUCUUGUGUUGGAAGAAUGGAAAAAAAAGCAAAAGAUGAAAAUGGUUUUUACUUUUUAGAAUUGUGGCGAGGUACUGGCGCGAGCGCGCGCUCGACUUUCAUCUUUUUAUUAUUAUUAUUUAUUUUCACGACAGCGUCAACUAUGCGCGCAAGUCGUUAUAGAUUAACUCUCUCUCUCUCUCUCUCUCCCGUCGUGAUAUGUCGGGGUCUUAAUUAUCUGCACAUAAACCUUCGGGGUUUGUUCUGUCUACCUGAUAGACGCUCUACCGAGUUUGAAUUUGUCUCUUAUUUUCUGUCGGCUGCUUCCCAGUAAUUAUACACGGGCUAUACGGAACGAAAAAAUCAUCAUUUACCGGUACCAUUUUAAAGAAAUCAAAAGUAAUGGAAUCAAAAGUCGAUUGGCAUUAUUCGUCGCUUGUCAUUUCAGUUUAAUUUCGCCGACAUUUUAUUUCUUUUUAGAAUUUUGACAGUUGGCCGAGGAUGACAGAUGGAGAUUGGUACUCGGCAACAGCCAGUGCACAGAGUGAUAUGAAGAAGAAACCGUUUUUAUUUUCUCCGGGUGUACCGGCGGGGGCGUUAUACGAUCCGGGGCCAAAUGAUUUCGAAAAAUCCGAAGAAAAGAAUUUGAUUUUUUUUUUUUUUUUUUGUUUUUUAAAGGCGGACAGUGCACGCGAUAGGGCGCUUCCUAUACAUCAAACGCCGUGACCUUUUGGUCCUCCACACAAUACGACUAUUAAAGCACGCAUAUUUUAAAUUAUUUGAAACAUAUAGCUACAGCAGCUCUGUUAUUCUUGAUAGUUUCAUUUAAAUUUCGGCCACUAGUCUUUAAAUUUUGUCACGCCAUCUUGGCCGGCAAUGACUUGGCUUUUAUUUUAAAAAAAAAAAGAAUGACUGAUUUUCCAUUUUUCUGGUUGCAGCUUGCGCUGACGCCAAGGCAAAUAAACAAACGAGAAAUCGGUAGACCGCGCGCGAUUGCAUUCAUGUGAAUUGAAAUAUACCGAAAGAGGUGGACAUUCGUUGUGUGCAUUUCCGAAAAAAAGGAAGAAUAAUAUUAGAUGGAUGGUUCAAUAAGAACAAGGUGUAUAAAUAUACACACACACACAGAGACACACAAUCAGGCGACCGCAAAAACCUAACUGCACUUUUCCACCAGGCACAUGCAACUUCCUCUUUCGUUCCUUCUUCCUCUUUCGCCACCUUGCCUUAUCCGCCUUCUUCUCCGCAUUGUCAAGGGCCGUUUCCCAUCAGAAAACCCCCCCACGCACAAUUCCACUCUUCGUCAUGUAUAUAACUUCACCAACCAAAAAAUCGUCAAGGUUCCCUCUCUCUCUUUCGCUUUCCAACAGGGGGCAAUAGACGCCGAGCCCAGUGAAUUUCAACCCAAAAAAAAAUAAAAUGAAAAUCUUUUUUUUUUUUUUCAUAUUAUAGGCUAUAUCUCCCAGGGCUUGUAUACGUAUACAUUCGAUAUACCAUCGAGAGGGAGCCAGCCAGCUGGCGGAUACACAUAUGCUUGACAGCCAAAACGGCAUGCUAUCUACUACCUACCAGAAAACUUUUUCGCUUGUAACUUUUUUCGGUACCGUUAAAAAUACAUGUAUGAGCGCCGGCGAAACAUUUGAAGAGAAUUGCCAAGAGGAGACGAGUCUUUGCUUGUCACGGAACCCGCCAGGCAUCGAGAAAUAAUGUUUCUUUAUGUAUCGACUACUUCACCAUGUGAAAUAUACAAAUGGGAGAGCAAUUUUUUUACGCUGACGCAAAAGGCUUGGCAUAUUUCACAUUUUCCCAACCUGCAAGCCAUUCUAUUUUCUGAUGAUUUCGCAAGCGAAUGAUUAAUUCUUCUCGAGGGCAGAUGUUAUUUUUUAAAACAUAGUUCUGAUAUAAUAGUUUUUUAUUCGAGCGUGGGUGAGAAUUCACGCUUUUAUCGUUUGAGAGGUUUGAAUUUAGGCGGGUCGAUUUUUAAUUAUGUUUCGAUCGAUACCUAAGAAUGGCUAUGGCUAAUUAGAAUAUUAGUGUCGUCUUCUAUUUUUGUUUCUCAGUUGUCAGUUUCACAGUUUCGAUAAGGAGAGACCACGCAUAAGAUUAUCAAGAAAAUAAUCACUUUUUUGGAGACGUAUACACGUGGCUAACACGAAAAAUAGCACAGCAAAUAUAAAUUUACAAAAAUGGGGUCGUCGUAUCAACUCUGGUCGUGUCUCUGUAGUGUAGAAUCGUUCAAUCCACACUCCAUGCUGUUUCUCAGAUUUGAGACCUGACCCAGCCAUGAUAACUACAAGAUAUUCAAGUUCUGCAUGUGCAGUUAUUGACCCGUCAUCAGCAACAACCUCAGCAUCAUCACUUGGAUGAACAGCAUCCCAUAUUCCCAUCUGAUAGGUGACACUUCCCUUUCUUUGAAUCCCCUCUGUCCUGUACACCCAUGUGAAUGUGGGUGUAUUCACGAGACUGAGUCCCCUUUUACCUAUCCUGCCUGGUGGAUUCAACUUUUCAGCGGAUGGAUGAAACCCUUUGCGAUGGAUGCCUGGCUGUGGAUUUCCCAGGCUUAAAGGUAGGACAAAUUCAUCUAUAUUCUCCCUUUUUUGACAAUUUGGUGGCGUUUAUUAUCAAUUGUUGCGGAGUACGGAAUACGAUUAGUCCUGAGCUAGGCCGUUGACUGGAACUGGGUUUUCUCUUGGUAUUUUUGUUGACUCAGUUAGGGUUCACUAAGCAACUCAUUUGUUGAACUACUGUAGAUAAGGCUUGUUUUCUUUUGUACCUCACAACUUUGUCUGUGGGUAUAAACCAUCAAAUUUCUUAAAUAUUUUCACUCGAAACACUUCCAGCAAAGUGCAACUGAUGAAACAUUUUUUGAACAAGAGGUUGGCUACUUUUGUCUUUUUCUGAAAAGACUGAAAAGAAAUGUUUUUGUUUUUCACCAACAGCGCAGCCAUUUCGAUCCCGUUCUAAUGGCCUUUUCGUGACCGGAAUCGCGAAGAGAAAAAAAAAAGGCCGGGAGAAUCUACUUCCGUCGUAAAUAUUUCGUUUCGCUUUUUUAUUACAUACUCGUUUCUUUUGUUCUUUUCCUCGAUUGAAUUGUCUCUAAGAAUUUUCUUCCGUUAUGGUCAAUGGAAUGAAGCGGCGGCCCACCAAACAGAGAUAAUCCACUCAUUCGUAUGUGCAGCUGGGUGCUGUCUGAGCUUAUUCGCCCGUUCAUCACACACACAGCCGUUUGGUUGAAAUCGAAAAUGCAGCCAUUUGAGUGCUGUUUAUUGUCUAAAGAGGCAAAGAAAUGUUUGGUUG